rnacentral:rRNA from 1 species
UACAGGGGGUGCAAACGUUGCUCGGAAUCAUUGGGCGUAAAGCGCACGUAGGCGGUUCGUUAUGUCGGAUGUGAAAGCCCUUGGCUUAACCGAGGAAGUGCAUCCGAAACUGGCGAGCUAGAGUACGAAAGAGGAUCGCGGAAUUCCCGGUGUAGAGGUGAAAUUCGUAGAUAUCAGGAGGAACACCGGUGGCGAAGGCGGUUCUCUGGGCAUUACCUGACGCUGAGGAGCGAAAGCAUGGGGGAGCGAACAGG